GAUGAACGCUGGCGGCGUGCCUAAUACAUGCAAGUCGAGCGAACAGACGAGGAGCUUGCUCCUCUGACGUUAGCGGCGGACGGGUGAGUAACACGUGGAUAACCUACCUAUAAGACUGGGAUAACUUCGGGAAACCGGAGCUAAUACCGGAUAAUAUGUUGAAUCGCAUGGUUCAACAGUGAAAGACGGUCUUGCUGUCACUUAUAGAUGGAUCCGCCCCGCAUUAGCUAGUUGGUAAGGUAACGGCUUACCAAGGCAACGAUGCGUAGCCGACCUGAGAGGGUGAUCGGCCACACUGGAACUGAGACACGGUCCAGACUCCUACGGGAGGCAGCAGUAGGGAAUCUUCCGCAAUGGGCGAAAGCCUGACGGAGCAACGCCGCGUGAGUGAAGAAGGUCUUCGGAUCGUAAAACUCUGUUAUUAGGGAAGAACAAAUGUGUAAGUAACUAUGCACGUCUUGACGGUACCUAAUCAGAAAGCCACGGCUAACUACGUG
rnacentral:rRNA from 1 species